AGUUGAAAUGAUGUCAAUUUAAAAUAUACAAUAAAAAGAAGGCAGAAGUAAGAAUUAUAGGACAUGUAAUCUUACGGUUCAUACAAUCUCAAGGGAUGAAAAAAUCUAGUUAAACAAGGUGAAAGUCAAGAAAAUGAAAAAAAAAUUACAGAACUCGUCGAGACGAAAUUGGAGGCGUAGAGCCGAGCGAGCGAGGGAACGGGUGGACGAAAGAGCGAGGUAAAACCAAGGCUCGGGAUCAUUAAAAUGCCAGGAGGAAAAUUCGUGUCGGCGUUUGAGAAGAAGUUGGCUGACCCAUGAGAGGUGCAUCGUGGAGAGCGACCACGCGGAGGGGAUACCCCGGCUGUUUUUCAUUACCACGGAUCUCCUCUUGGGAACUAGCCGGAAGACCGGAGAGCACAAUUGCUCCAGGUGGGGGAUAAAUAAGGAGUAGGUGGGCAUGACGAGAUGAGACGAGAAACAAGACGGAAGGGGGUCACCGGGACUCUCGGUCGUCGAGAGUCCGGGUUCGUUUCUCUUCUCGCCUCACCGGAGGCUACAGCUCGUUCGUCGCUAAUGAAAUAAAACCUACUCACCCGUCGUGUGAACGAAUUAACAUAAAUAUAGUUACACACCAAUCCAGUAAACCACAUUUAUCUAAACAAAUUACAUGGUAUCGAACUGACUGUAUUUUUUAAAACUGUCAAACACGACGAGUAAUUUAUAAUAACUAAAGUAA